UACAGAGGGUGCAAGCGUUGUUCGGAAUUACUGGGCGUAAAGCGUGCGUAGUCGGUAUUGAGAGUCGCGGGUGAAAUCCCAGGGCUUAACCCUGGAACUGCCUGCGAGACCUCAGUACUAGAGUGUGAGAGGGGAUAGUGGAAUACCCAGUGUAGCGGUGAAAUGCGUAGAGAUUGGGUGGAACACCGGUGGCGAAGGCGGCUAUCUGGCUCACAACUGACGCUGAUGCACGAAAGCUAGGGGAGCAAACAGG
rnacentral:rRNA from 1 species